UACGUAGGGAGCAAGCGUUGUCCGGAAUCAUUGGGCGUAAAGCGCGCGUAGGUGGCUUCAUAAGUCCGUUGUGAAAGUCAAAGGCUCAACCUUUGAAAGCCGAUGGAUACUGUGGAGCUAGAGUGCGGAAGAGGCGAGUGGAAUUCCUGGUGUAGCGGUGGAAUGCGCAGAUAUCAGGAGGAACACCAAUAGCGAAGGCAGCUCGCUGGGACGUUACUGACACUGAGGCGCGAAAGCGUGGGGAGCGAACAGG
rnacentral:rRNA from 1 species